GACGAACCACCCAAACGUUAUUCGGAAUUACUGGGCUUAAAGGGUGCGUAGGCUGUGCGGAAAGUUGGGUGUGAAAUACCUCAGCUUAACUGAGGAACGGCGCUCAAAACUACCGUGCUGGAGGGAGACAGAGGUGAGCGGAACUUAGGGUGGAGCGGUGAAAUGCGUAGAGAUCGGGAGGAACACCAGCGGCGAAGGCGGCGACCUGGACAGGUACUGACACUCAACUACGAAAGCGUGGGGAGCAAACAGG
rnacentral:rRNA from 1 species